rnacentral:rRNA from 1 species
CACGUAGGGGACGAGCGUUGUCCGGAUUCAUUGGGCGUAAAGCGCGCGUAGGCGGACCUGCAAGUCGGGGGUGAAAGCCCGAGGCUCAACCUCGGAACUGCCUUCGAUACUGCGGGUCUCGAGUCCGGGAGAGGUGAGUGGAAUUCCUAGUGUAGAGGUGAAAUUCGUAGAUAUUAGGAAGAACACCAGUGGCGAAGGCGGCUCACUGGCCCGGUACUGACGCUGAGGUGCGAAAGCGUGGGGAGCAAACAGG